AAAUAUUACAUUGCAAUCAAUCAAUCAUUAUUAAUUGUUUGAAGUGCAACUUGUUCUUUAUCUGGAAUCCGGUAACAAUGCUCAACAUGUCUUUUUCCACUUCUCUUCAUACUUAAAAGAAAAGAGAACAUAUUAUAUACACACACACUCCCACACGCUUAUUACCUCUCAUACCAACAUCGACGAAGUUGUGGUCCUUGUGGACAAGAUGAAUGGAAGAGACCCUGGUAAAAAUCAAGAUCGAAGCUAUUUGGUACCCCAUUCACACACUAUCGUAGCACAGAGAAUUAAGAAGACCUUUAUCGCGUGCCCUAUGCUUAUGAUGUUGGGUUGAUUGUGAACAGUCAUGAGGAAUAUGUUGGUACCUUUUUCAGGCUUUGGACAUCGUUGCUGAGGAACUAAAGUUCUUCUUCCAGCCGCUGCUGCCCCCUCGUCUUUAUUUGCUUUGAUUCUUGAUUUCUUUCACUUUCAUGCUGAUUCCUUUACAUGAUGAUGAGUUUUGUCUGAGAUUAAACCCUAUUUAUAGUAAAAAACAUGAAUGUAAUCUUUCAAAUAUAUUAAAUAAAAUUUAAAAAAUA